rnacentral:rRNA from 1 species
AACGAACGCUGGCGGCGUGCUUAACACAUGCAAGUCGAACGGAAACGCCCUGCUUUUUUGGGGUUCUCGAGUGGCGAACGGGUGAGUAACACGUGAGUAACCUGCCCUUCACUUUGGGAUAACUUCAGGUAACUGAGGCUACUCCCGUAUAGGAUCUCCUGCUUCAUGGUGGGGGUUGGAACGUUUCGGCGGUUGGGGUUGGACUCGCGGCUUAUCAGCUUGUUGGUGGGGUAGUGGCUUACCAAGGCUUUGGCUGGUAGCCGGCCUGAGAGGGGGACCGGCCACAUUGGGACUGAGAUACGGCCCAGACUCGUAUGGGAGGCAGCAGUGGGGAAUAUUGUACAAGGGGCGGAAGCCGGAUGCAACAACGCCGCGUGCGGGAAGACGGCCUGCGGGUAGUGAACCGCUUUCGCCUGUGACGAAGCGGGAGUGACGGUAAUGGGUAAAGAAGCACCGGCUAACUACGUG